AACGCUAGCUACAGGCUUAACACAUGCAAGUCGAGGGGCAUCAGGAAGAAAGCUUGCUUUCUUUGCUGGCGACCGGCGCACGGGUGAGUAACACGUAUCCAACCUGCCCUUUACUCGGGGAUAGCCUUUCGAAAGAAAGAUUAAUACCCGAUAGCAUAAUGAUUCCGCAUGGUUUCAUUAUUAAAGGAUUCCGGUAAAGGAUGGGGAUGCGUUCCAUUAGGUUGUUGGUGGGGUAACGGCCCACCAAGCCUUCGAUGGAUAGGGGUUCUGAGAGGAAGGUCCCCCACAUUGGAACUGAGACACGGUCCAAACUCCUACGGGAGGCAGCAGUGAGGAAUAUUGGUCAAUGGGCGCUAGCCUGAACCAGCCAAGUAGCGUGAAGGAUGAAGGCUCUAUGGGUCGUAAACUUCUUUUAUAUAAGAAUAAAGUGCAGUAUGUAUACUGUUUUGUAUGUAUUAUAUGAAUAAGGAUCGGCUAACUCCGUGCCAGCAGCCGCGGUAAUACGGAGGAUCCGAGCGUUAUCCGGAUUUAUUGGGUUUAAAGGGAGCGUAGGUGGACUGGUAAGUCAGUUGUGAAAGUUUGCGGCUCAACCGUAAAAUUGCAGUUGAUACUGUCAGUCUUGAGUACAGUAGAGGUGGGCGGAAUUCGUGGUGUAGCGGUGAAAUGCUUAGAUAUCACGAAGAACUCCGAUUG
rnacentral:rRNA from 1 species